UCUUUGUCUCCCUUAGAGGAAGUAAAAGUCGUAACAAGGUCUCCGUUGGUGAACCAGCGGAGGGAUCAUUACCGAGUUCUUGUGACUCCCAAACCCAUUGUGAACCUUACCCGUACGUUGCUUCGGCGGGCUGUCCCGGAUCGUGGCCCUCUACUCCCCCCCUCGGGGGGUUGGCGGGGGCGCGGCCCGGACCCAGGCGCCCGCCGGGGGACCCAAACCCAGAAUCCUGUCACCAGUAUCCCUCUGAGCCGGACAGCAGUGUCCGACAACCAAAAAAAAUGAAUCAAAACUUUCAACAACGGAUCUCUUGGUUCUGGCAUCGAUGAAGAACGCAGCGAAAUGCGAUAAGUAAUGUGAAUUGCAGAAUCCAGUGAAUCAUCGAAUCUUUGAACGCACAUUGCGCCCGCCAGUAUUCUGGCGGGCAUGCCUGUUCGAGCGUCAUUUCACCCCUCAAGCGCCCGCUUGGUGUUGGGGGACGGCCCAGCGCCCCAGGCGUUGGGCCGCCCCUGAAAUGUAUUGGCGGCGGCGUCGGGCCCCCUCUGCGCAGUAACGACAUGCCCCAGCGGCAGGAGAACCUCGCACCGGGAGCGCGGCGCGGCCACUGCCGUGAAACGCCCAACUUCUCAACAGUUGACCUCGAAUCAGGUAGGACUACCCGCUGAACUUAAGCAUAUCAA
rnacentral:rRNA from 1 species